AUUGAACGCUAGCGGCAGGCCUAACACAUGCAAGUCGAACGAGCGGCGGACGGGUGAGUACUGUAUGGGGACGUGCCCAGUAGAGGGGGAUAACUACUGGAAACGGUGGCUAAUACCGCAUACCAUCGGAUCAGCCCAUAUGGGAUUAGCUUGUCGGUGGGGUAACGGUUCACCUAGGCGACGAUCCCUAGCUGGUCUGAGAGGAUGACCCGCCACACUGGGACGGGGACACGGCCCAGACUCCUACGGUAGGCAGCAGUGGGGAAUAUUGGACAAUGGGCGAAACCCUGAUGCAGCCAUGCCGCGUGUAUGAAGAAGGCCUUCGGGUUUUAAAGUACUUUUUGCCGGGAGGCGUUACCUGCAGAAGAAGCACCGGCUAACUACGUGCCAGCAGCCGCGGUAAUUC
rnacentral:rRNA from 1 species